AGUGAACGCUGGCGGUAGGCCUAACACAUGCAAGUCGAACGGCAGCACAGUAAGAGCUUGCUCUUACGGGUGGCGAGUGGCGGACGGGUGAGGAAUACAUCGGAAUCUACUUUUUCGUGGGGGAUAACGUAGGGAAACUUACGCUAAUACCGCAUACGACCUACGGGUGAAAGCAGGGGACCUUCGGACCUUGCGCGAUUGAAUGAGCCGAUGUCGGAUUAGCUAGUUGGCGGGGUAAAGGCCCACCAAGGCGACGAUCCGUAGCUGGUCUGAGAGGAUGAUCAGCCACACUGGAACUGAGACACGGUCCAGACUCCUACGGGAGGCAGCAGUGGGGAAUAUUGGACAAUGGGCGCAAGCCUGAUCCAGCUAUACCGCGUGGGUGAAGAAGGCCUUCGGGUUGUAAAGCCCUUUUGUUGGGAAAGAAAAGCAGCAGGUUAAUACCCCGCUGUUCUGACGGUACCCAAAGAAUAAGCACCGGCUAACUUCGUG
rnacentral:rRNA from 1 species